rnacentral:rRNA from 1 species
UACAGAGGUCUCAAGCGUUGUUCGGAUUCAUUAGGCGUAAAGGGUGCGUAGGUGGCGGGGUAAGUCAGGUGUGAAAUCGUCGGGGCUCAACCCCGAAACUGCACUUGAUACUGGCCUUGCUCGAGUACUGGAGAGGAGAUUGGAAUUUACGGUGUAGCAGUGAAAUGCGUAGAUAUCGUAAGGAAGACCAGUGGCGAAGGCGAAUCUCUGGACAGUUACUGACACUGAGGCACGAAGGCCAGGGGAGCAAACCGGG